rnacentral:rRNA from 1 species
GGCGGAGGAUGCAAGUGUUAUCCGGAAUCACUGGGCGUAAAGCGUCUGUAGGUGGUUUAAAAAGUCUGCUGUUAAAAAUUGAAGCUUAACUUCAAAGAUGCCGUAGAAACUUUUAAACUAGAGUAUGAUAGGGGUAGAGGGAAUUUCCAGUGGAGCGGUGAAAUGUGUAGAUAUUGGAAAGACCACCAAUGGCGAAGGCACUCUACUGGGCCAUUACUGACACUGAGAGGCGAAAGCUAGGGGAGCAAAUGGG